UGAGCAAUCUGCCCUUCUCUUCGGAAUAAGCGUUGGAAACGACGUCUAAUGCCGAAUACGACCUCCUUUCGCAUGAUCGGAGGUGGAAAGCUCCGGCGGAGAAGGAUGAGCUCGCGGCCUAUCAGCUAGUUGGUGUGGGUAAUGGCCCACCAAGGCGACGACGGGUAGCCGGCCUGAGAGGGUGACCGGCCACGACCGGGACUGAGACACGGCCCAGACUCCUACGGGAGGCAGCAGGG
rnacentral:rRNA from 1 species